rnacentral:rRNA from 1 species
AUGCUCCACCUCCGGCAGCGCGUCCUCUCCCAUCUCCUCUCCGCCGCUCCCCAUCCUUCCACCUCCCCACUCCUCUCUCUCUCCACCGCCGCCGCGCCCGCCGUUUCCCCAAACCCUAGCUUCGCCGUCGAGGACUACCUCGUCUCCACCUGCGGGCUGACCAGAGCCCAGGCACUCAAGGCCUCCGCCAAGCUCUCCCACCUCAAGUCCCCGGCCAAGCCCGACGCCGUCCUCUCCUUCCUCGCCGACCUCGGCCUCUCCGGCGCCGAUGUCGCGGCCGUCGUCGCCAAGGACCCGCGGUUCCUCUACGCCGGCGUGGAGAGAACUCUGGCCCCUGUCGUCGCGGGGCUCACCGGCCUCGGCCUGUCAAAUGCUGAGAUUGCGCGCCUCGUCUCGCUCGCCCCCGGCUACUUCCGCUGCAGAUCCGUCAUCUCCAAGCUAGAGUACUACCUUCCACUCUUCGGCUCCAUCGAGAACAUGGUCCGGCCGCUCAAACAUGACCACUUCUUCCUCCGCUCUGACCUCGAGAGGGUGGUCAAGCCAAGUGUCAAGCUCCUAGCAGAGUGCGGGCUAGGUGCUUGUGAUAUUGCCAAGCUGUUCAUCCGUACGUCAAGGAUGCUUAGCGCUAAACCAGGGCGUGUCCUGGCGAUGGUUGCGUGCGCCGAAGGUAUAGGUGUGCCCCGUGGCUCUGUAAUGUUCAGGCAAGCGCUGCACGCCGUCUCAUACAUCAGCGAGGACAAGAUCGCUGCCAAAGUGGACUACUUGAAGAAGACGUUUAGGUGGUCGGAUGCCGAGGUUGGCAUUGCUGUGUCCAAGGGGCCGUUUAUGCUGGCGAGGUCAAAGGACAUGCUGAAGCGCAGGUCCGACUUCCUUAUCUCUGAGGUGGGGUUGCAGCCGGCCUACAUUGCUCAUCGCCCGGCUAUGCUCACCUACAGCCUGGAGGGCCGGCUCAGGCCCCGCUACUAUGUUGUCAAAUUUCUCAAGGAAAAUGGAUUGCUAGAGCACGGGCGGGGCUACUAUACAACACUGGUUAAGACUGAGAAGGUUUUCAUGGAAAAGUUCAUCUGCCCACACAAGGAAGCCGCACCACACCUCGCUGAAGACUACGCGACUGCUUGCAAAGGGGAAGUGCCGGCUAGAUUCAGAUUUACAUGA